UACGAAGGGGGCUAGCGUUGCUCGGAAUCACUGGGCGUAAAGGGCUCGUAGGCGGCCAACUAAGUCAGACGUGAAAUCCCUCAGCUUAACUGGGGAACUGCGUCUGAUACUGGAUGGCUUGGAUUCGGGAGAGGAAUGCGGAAUUCCAGGUGUAGCGGUGAAAUGCGUAGAUAUCUGGAGGAACACCGGUGGCGAAGGCGGCACUCUGGACCGAUAUUGACGCUGAGGAGCGAAAGCCAGGGGAGCAAACGGG
rnacentral:rRNA from 1 species